AUUGAACGCUGGCGGCAGGCCUAACACAUGCAAGUCGAGCGGAUGAAGGGAGCUUGCUCCUGGAUUCCGCGGCGGACGGGUGAGUAAUGCCUAGGAAUCUGCCUGGUAGUGGGGGAUAACGUCCGGAAACGGGCGCUAAUACCGCAUACGACCAGAGGGUGAAAGUGGGGGAUCUUCGGACCUCACGCUAUCAGAUGAGCCUAGGUCGGAUUAGCUAGUUGGUGGGGUAAAGGCCUACCAAGGCGACGAUCCGUAACUGGUCUGAGAGGAUGAUCAGUCACACUGGAACUUAGACACGGUCCAGACUCCUACGGGAGGCAGCAGUGGGGAAUAUUGGACAAUGGGCGAAAGCCUGAUCCAGCCAUGCCGCGUGUGUGAAGAAGGUCUUCGGAUUGUAAAGCACUUUAAGUUGGGAGGAAGGGCAGUAAGUUAAUACCUUGCUGUUUUGACGUUACCAACAGAAUAAGCACCGGCUAACUUCGUG
rnacentral:rRNA from 1 species